CUACGGAGGGUGCGAGCGUUAAUCGGAAUUACUGGGCGUAAAGCGUGCGCAGGCGGUUUGCUAAGUCAGAUGUGAAAGCCCCGGGCUUAACCUGGGAACUGCAUUUGAUACUGGCAGACUAGAGUAUGAUAGAGGGGGGUAGAAUUCCUGGUGUAGCGGUGAAAUGCGUAGAUAUCAGGAGGAAUACCAGUGGCGAAGGCGGCCCCCUGGAUCAAUACUGACGCUGAGGUACGAAAGCGUGCGGAGCGAACAGGAUUAGAAACCCUAGUAGUCC
rnacentral:rRNA from 1 species